AUGCUUUCUUUCCCCAUUGCUACAGACUGGAGAGGAUUUUCGGGGUGUGCAGAGUUUCAGAGUCCUGCAUGGCUGGUGCCUCUCCUCAUCACCCAGUGCUGGGGUGGAAGUGUGCAUGCAUGGCUCUGCCACUGUGUAAUGCUCACGGUAUCUUUCCCUCUAAGGAGGGGUCCUUCAAAGUAUCUCCACAUCUUCAGAGUCACUCAGGAGAUUCCCACGGAUGGAGAGGGGACUGCACCUGAAGCCUGGUUUCUUGUUCUGAGCUGCUCAAGGUCUCCCUGCUGGCAGAGAAGGAUGCUGAAAUUGAGCUGGUCGGCAGGACAUCCCCAUCAUGGAGCUCAAGAGGAUGGAGGCCAUGAGGGCAGUCUCAGUCUUAAAGCACUUCUCAGGUGCUGCUUUUGCUUCUGCUCUUCCCUGGCUGCAAUACAGGGAAGACUGAGGAAUUUCAUGGGAGAUGCUGACCCCAGCUGCGGUUUCCUGUGUGCUGGCAGAGCCACAGAAGCCACCACAAAUGCUCCAGGAGGUCAUCCUAUGAGAGCAUUAGGUGACCUCAGGACCAGAGCACCAGCCAUCCCACUGGUCCCUGCUGACACCAAGACAUAG
ensembl:lncRNA